GUUUCUGGUAAUGAUAAAUACCACUUUGUUUUGGUCACGUUUCGGGGAAUCUAUUUGAAGAAUUUAAAUGAGGGGGC
rnacentral:sRNA from 1 species